ACCUAGCUGGCUUAGUCAGUAGAGCAUAGGACUCUUGAUCAUGGAGUUGUGAGUUCGAGCCUCAUGUUGGGUG
rnacentral:tRNA from 1 species